AACGCGAAGAACCUUACCAGCCUUUGACAUGCCCUGGACGGUUGCCAGAGAUGGCUUCCUCUCUUCGGAGCCGGGGACACAGGUGCUGCAUGGCUGUCGUCAGCUCGUGUCGUGAGAUGUUGGGUUAAGUCCCGCAACGAGCGCAACCCUCGCCCUUAGUUGCCAUCAUUCAGUUGGGCACUCUAGGGGGACUGCCGGUGAUAAGCCGCGAGGAAGGUGGGGAUGACGUCAAGUCCUCAUGGCCCUUACAGGCUGGGCUACACACGUGCUACAAUGGCGGUGACAGUGGGAUGCGGAGGGGCGACCCCGAGCAAAUCUCAAAAAGCCGUCUCAGUUCGGAUUGCACUCUGCAACUCGAGUGCAUGAAGGUGGAAUCGCUAGUAAUCGUAGAUCAGAACGCUACGGUGAAUACGUUCCCGGGCCUUGUACACACCGCUAGUC
rnacentral:rRNA from 1 species